rnacentral:rRNA from 1 species
CCUACGGGCGGCAGCAGUGAGGAAUAUUGGUCAAUGGACGAGAGUCUGAACCAGCCAAGUAGCGUGAAGGAUGACUGCCCUAUGGGUUGUAAACUUCUUUUAUAUGGGAAUAAAAUAGGGUACGCAUAUCUUCUUGUAUGUACCAUAUGAAUAAGGAUCGGCUAACUCCGUGCCAGCAGCCGCGGUAAUACGGAGGAUCCGAGCGUUAUCCGGAUUUAUUGGGUUUAAAGGGUGCGUAGGUGGAUUGUUAAGUCAGUUGUGAAAGUUUGCGGCUCAACCGUAAAAUUGCAGUUGAAACUGGCAGUCUUGAGUACAGUAGAGGUAGGCGGAAUUCGUGGUGUAGCGGUGAAAUGCUUAGAUAUCACACAGAACUCCGAUUGCGAAGGCAGCUCACUAGACUGCGACUGACACUGAUGCUCGAAAGUGUGGGUAUCAAACAGGAUUAGAUACCCCUGUAGUC